rnacentral:rRNA from 1 species
GGGUUGUGAGGUUAAGCGACUAAGCGUACACGGUGGAUGCCCUGGCAGUCAGAGGCGAUGAAGGACGUGCUAAUCUGCGAUAAGCGUCGGUAAGGUGAUAUGAACCGUUAUAACCGGCGAUUUCCGAAUGGGGAAACCCAGUGUGUUUCGACACACUAUCAUUACGUGAAUACAUAGCGUAAUGAAGCGAACCGGGGGAACUGAAACAUCUAAGUACCCCGAGGAAAAGAAAUCAACCGAGAUUCCCCCAGUAGCGGCGAGCGAACGGGGAGCAGCCCAGAGUCUGAAUCAGCUUGUGUGUUAGUGGAACGGUCUGGAAAGUCCGACGGUACAGGGUGAUAGUCCCGUACACCAAAAUGCACAGGUUGUGAACUCGAAGAGUAGGGCGGGACACGUGGUAUCCUGUCUGAAUAUGGGGGGACCAUCCUCCAAGGCUAAAUACUCCUGACUGACCGAUAGUGAACCAGUACCGUGAGGGAAAGGCGAAAAGAACCCCGGCGAGGGGAGUGAAAAAGAACCUGAAACCGUGUACGUACAAGCAGUGGGAGCAUCCUUUUGGGUGUGACUGCGUACCUUUUGUAUAAUGGGUCAGCGACUUAUAUUCUGUAGCAAGGUUAACCGUAUAGGGGAGCCGAAGGGAAACCGAGUCUUAACUGGGCGUUAAGUUGCAGGGUAUAGACCCGAAACCCGGUGAUCUAGCCAUGGGCAGGUUGAAGGUUGGGUAACACUAACUGGAGGACCGAACCGACUAAUGUUGAAAAAUUAGCGGAUGACUUGUGGCUGGGGGUGAAAGGCCAAUCAAACCGGGAGAUAGCUGGUUCUCCCCGAAAGCUAUUUAGGUAGCGCCUCGUGAAUUCAUCUUCGGGGGUAGAGCACUGUUUCGGCUAGGGGGUCAUCCCGACUUACCAACCCGAUGCAAACUGCGAAUACCGAAGAAUGUUAUCACGGGAGACACACGGCGGGUGCUAACGUCCGUCGUGAAGAGGGAAACAACCCAGACCGCCAGCUAAGGUCCCAAAGUCAUGGUUAAGUGGGAAACGAUGUGGGAAGGCACAGACAGCCAGGAUGUUGGCUUAGAAGCAGCCAUCAUUUAAAGAAAGCGUAAUAGCUCACUGGUCGAGUCGGCCUGCGCGGAAGAUGUAACGGGGCUAAACCAUGCACCGAAGCUGCGGCAGCGACACUAUGUGUUGUUGGGUAGGGGAGCGUUCUGUAAGCCGUUGAAGGUGUGCUGUGAGGCAUGCUGGAGGUAUCAGAAGUGCGAAUGCUGACAUAAGUAACGAUAAUGCGGGUGAAAAACCCGCACGCCGGAAGACCAAGGGUUCCUGUCCAACGUUAAUCGGGGCAGGGUGAGUCGACCCCUAAGGCGAGGCCGAAAGGCGUAGUCGAUGGGAAACAGGUUAAUAUUCCUGUACUUGGUGUUACUGCGAAGGGGGGACGGAGAAGGCUAUGUUAGCCGGGCGACGGUUGUCCCGGUUUAAGCAUGUAGGCGGAGGUUCCAGGUAAAUCCGGUACCUUUUUAACGCUGAGGUGUGAUGACGAGGCACUACGGUGCUGAAGUAACAAAUGCCCUGCUUCCAGGAAAAGCCUCUAAGCAUCAGGUAACACGAAAUCGUACCCCAAACCGACACAGGUGGUCAGGUAGAGAAUACCAAGGCGCUUGAGAGAACUCGGGUGAAGGAACUAGGCAAAAUGGUGCCGUAACUUCGGGAGAAGGCACGCUGAUAUGUAGGUGAAGUGAUUUACUCAUGGAGCUGAAAUCAGUCGAAGAUACCAGCUGGCUGCAACUGUUUAUUAAAAACACAGCACUGUGCAAACACGAAAGUGGACGUAUACGGUGUGACGCCUGCCCGGUGCCGGAAGGUUAAUUGAUGGGGUUAUCCGUAAGGAGAAGCUCUUGAUCGAAGCCCCGGUAAACGGCGGCCGUAACUAUAACGGUCCUAAGGUAGCGAAAUUCCUUGUCGGGUAAGUUCCGACCUGCACGAAUGGCGUAAUGAUGGCCAGGCUGUCUCCACCCGAGACUCAGUGAAAUUGAACUCGCUGUGAAGAUGCAGUGUACCCGCGGCAAGACGGAAAGACCCCGUGAACCUUUACUAUAGCUUGACACUGAACACUGGUCCUUGAUGUGUAGGAUAGGUGGGAGGCUUUGAAGUGUGGACGCCAGUCUGCAUGGAGCCAUCCUUGAAAUACCACCCUUUAAUGGCUGGUGUUCUAACGUGGGCCCGUGAUCCGGGUUGCGGACAGUGUCUGGUGGGUAGUUUGACUGGGGCGGUCUCCUCCUAAAGAGUAACGGAGGAGCACGAAGGUUAGCUAAUCCUGGUCGGACAUCAGGAGGUUAGUGCAAAGGCAUAAGCUAGCUUGACUGCGAGAGUGACGGCUCGAGCAGGUGCGAAAGCAGGUCUUAGUGAUCCGGUGGUUCUGAAUGGAAGGGCCAUCGCUCAACGGAUAAAAGGUACUCCGGGGAUAACAGGCUGAUACCGCCCAAGAGUUCAUAUCGACGGCGGUGUUUGGCACCUCGAUGUCGGCUCAUCACAUCCUGGGGCUGAAGUAGGUCCCAAGGGUAUGGCUGUUCGCCAUUUAAAGUGGUACGCGAGCUGGGUUUAGAACGUCGUGAGACAGUUCGGUCCCUAUCUGCCGUGGGCGCUGGAGAAUUGAGGGGGGCUGCUCCUAGUACGAGAGGACCGGAGUGGACGCAUCACUGGUGUUCGGGUUGUCAUGCCAAUGGCAUUGCCCGGUAGCUAAAUGCGGAAGAGAUAAGUGCUGAAAGCAUCUAAGCACGAAACUUGCCCCGAGAUGAGUUCUCCCUGACUCCUUGAGAGUCCUGAAGGAACGUUAAAGACGAUGACGUUGAUAGGUCGGGUGUGUAAGUGUAGCGAUACAUUGAGCUAACCGAUACUAAUGAACCGUGAGGCUUAACCUUACAACGCCGAAG